UGUGUCUGCUCAAAUUUCCCUUCUGGUAUUUCCAGCUGACACGGUACGCCAAGCACAGGCACACAUUUACCUGGAUGAAGAGCAAGUGCAGCUCAUGGGCCCCUCAAAGAGAGGAGAUGCAAUCUGACGGAGCGGCAGUGUGAUGUGGUGUACUGAGUGCCGGGAUGCUGGAGAAGGGGGAUCUUCGUCAAAACCACUUCAUGGAGCAAAACCCGACUUGGACCUGGUGAACGGUGGCUUGUGCCGACCCCGUCACUCUGGCAGUGGCAAUGCCAUUCGGACAGUGUGGCAGGGCGCCAGCCACCUCGCCUGGCUUGCCUCCUGCAAGGAAAAGCAGGGGACGGCUUGAUUCCUCUUUUUGGAAACACAAAUCCUAAUCCAUCGCGCAGCAGAUUUUAUCUCUGCCACAGGUACAAUUCUGGAGUAACUCCUCUGGCUCCAACAAAGUUGUUCCAGAUCUAGGGCUGAGCAAGAGAGAGCAACAGCAGUCAAGUCUCUGCUCUCCAGGACCACGUCUGGGUGCUGCUGUAACACCUUGCAGAUUUACACCUACGUCAGGGCCCUGCAGUGUACAGCGCUGCUCCCUCCUCCGACGAGGGAGCAUCCUGGUCACACAGGAUGUAUGAUCAGCUUUACAACUUCAGCUACUCCAUGGCUUUCCUGUCUGUCUCAUACCGUUCUUUCUUUUGCCUCUUUCUUGAUUUUCCCUGUGUUAUUUUCCUUCUUUUAUUUUAUUUAUUUAUACAGAUAAGCAUGUUUGUGCAGGCAUAUGUAUGUGCACACAUGGAGGUACACUCUUUCUGGCCUUCUGUCUUAUGAACAAACCUCAUUCUAGACAAACACGUAUGCGUGUAUAUACUUUUAUAAAUAUAUGUCUAUUCAUAUAAAUGUAUGCACAAAUAUUUUCACAACACCAUUCCAGCCAUGGAAACUGGAUCUCUGACGUGUUGGCAUUGCUUGACUUGCAUUUCAAGACUUCAGUCAAGAAACAAGUAAACACCAUCUCAUUGUGAAUGAACCGAAUGCAGCCUCACGCUCCUCUAAACCCACUCGUGAGGAUCCACCUGUUCUCACCAUGAAGGCACCUUCAUCUGUAGACACAAUGUCUGCUGUUGGCCUUCUGUUCAGCAGAGUUCAGAGGGGCUCAGCUCUUCCUUCCCCAGGGAGAAGGGCAGGUCUGGGACAUUCAGCGUGAUGGAGCAUCGUGCAGGAGGAAAGGUCUGACCGUGAGCUCAAUGGCUACGCACCAUCAGUAAGCCAUAAUGACCAGAGCUACCAAGUGGGUUUAUUGAGUUUUGGUGGCUGGGUGUCACUCGUGCCACAGCUGGGAAUUGUUGGCUGAUGGCCAAGCCUGGUAUGUUUGCUACUCAAAACCUACCAGCCUGGCUGUAUGCAGAGGGAUGCAAAUUGCACCAUCUUUUUAUAGAGACAUUGGAAUGAAAGAGAUGUUUUUAAAGGUCUUUUUAAAAUUCCUCAUCCUCAUCUGCGGUUUUGGUCUUUGUCAUUGAAAAAGUCGCUCUCAGAACAGGCCGUGUUUCCUUAAUGGGCUAAGGAAAGAGCCUGUGCUACUUUUGGAUUCUCUUCUCUGCAACAACAAUUGAAUUUGGCCUGGAAGUACGGUAGUCUGCAAUUAAUGGAGGAAGCAGAUCGUCAGGUUUCUUUUUCUUGGCUUUAUGAAUGGGCCUGAGCAGUGUCGCUCAGACACCGAUACCAUCCAGGCAAGGUGAACCCUACACAAAAGGCUGAUUUUUAACCUCACAGGGAAAAACAAAGUUCUCCCCAGUCUGGAGAAGCAGCUAUUUUACUCUGUUCACCAAAAGCCUUUCAGAAAAGAGACCGUGGCCGUGUCCCGGAGGGAGACCUUACUUUUGUUCUUUCUUGUUGUGUUCCUUCGUAUAAACAUAUCCAAGACUGAAAGUAUUUGGCUGUUCUUCCCGUCUGGAAACAUAACAAGAGUCAUGAUGAUUAGCCGGCCAGCGAGUCUCCGAAUUUCCACUGUCGUGCCUCAGUGCUGUGUCCCUGCUGUCCUGCGAACACUGCUGUUCCGUGUGAAAAUUCAGACAUUCUGGUUUCCAAAAGGCUGCUAAAAUGAAACGUCUAAACUAACAGGGACACACUUUCCAGGCAAAACUUCCUCACCUUCUAGACUGCACAGACUUGUCUCUCUCUCUCUCUUUUUUUAAAAGCAAUAAGAAUUCUUUAUGCAAGGAGUCUAAAAAGACAUCAAACAAGUGAGAAGAUCACUUUGAGCUGUGUCCUCGUGCCUCUGUGUCAAACCAUGCCCAUGUGCAGUUUUAUCAGCUGUUUCAGAGCUGUUAUUUGAUAUCUAACGUUGUUAUGCUUUGGGACAAAGAUACUGUGAUGCCUCCUGGAUGAGUGUUUUUCUGCUAUGAAAAACAGAACCCUUUUCUCCUUCCCUAAAAAGCAGCUCCCUUAGAAGUCUCUUUAGAAAAAUAGAUAAUUUGCUGUCUAUUUCUGGUUAAUGCUUGAUUUACACUGUUGUUACUGGGCCCUAUAGAAAAGGGCUGCUCCUAUCACAACAUUUCUAGAUACAUAAACAGUCAAGACCAGCCAUUUGAAAGUUCCCUCUUCUCUAACCCAAUAUUAUUUAGCUUUUGCUUUGAUCUCACGCCUGGAAAAAAUCUUUUCCUUGAAACACUGCAAGUUUUCACAGUUCUAAUAACGCAUCAAAGCCGAUACCAUAUGCAGUCCAGCUAGUCCCCAGCAUUAGCUCAUUUUGUGAACCCAAAUACGUCUCUUUCCCCCUUCUUUCAGUUUUAAUUUUGUGCUUUCUCUGCAGUGGUUCUGGGGAGCAGCGUGCUGCCAGUGCGUGGGGAAGCGAGAGGGUGAGGGUGCUGGCUACGGCCAGGCACAGCGCCGUCAGAUGCUUCCUCCCAAAGGACUGCCAAUGCCCUGAGCACCUCUAGACGUCUCGUGAGCACAGACUGCUGCUCCUGCCAAAUUGCAUGGCGGUUUUGGGGAUGGAGACGAAUAUCCAUUGAGUAUUUACUUGAUGCUAUCAAACUCGUUUGUCUCGUAACCAAACUCCGAGUCCCUAGAGGUGAAAUUCAGUGCAUCAAUCCGCCGCUCCAUCUACCCAUCUUUAAAAGGAACAUCAUUAACAUGCCUUGCACAUGAACAAAUGUGGCUUUGUUCCAUGUUACUUCAUUACUGCAUUAUUUAGGGCUGAUAGGUCUGAAAGCCAGGAGGCACCUUUAUGAUCACCUAGUCUGAUCUCAUGAGUACCACGAGCUAGUAAUCUAGGCAGUAACCUGUGGUUGAUCUGUAUCACGUAUUUUAGAAAAAUAGCCAGUUUCCCAUGGCAGUUUGGACCGAUCUCCCUAGAUGUGCUGAUUUCCAGCAAGUUGUAUGCCAAAGGGGGGAGCGGAGAGCACAAUAGCAGAGCUGGUAUUUGCUGUGCAGAUCUGGAAGAGGAGUUUCACCCUAGGAAGCCAGACAGGCCCAAAUACAAACAGAGAUGGAAAGAGCACCACUCUGUAGAUCUGAAUUUAGAUCUAAACUCUGGCUGAGGGCCUGUUUCCCUUUUUAAGUCAAAGUGGGAAGCAGUCUGCUAAAGGAAGAGAAUUUGCUACCGGGAUACCAUGGAUGAGCUCUGAAAAAAAUGCAUCCAUCUGGACUUGGUGUGGGGUGAAGAGACCUGUUCUGGAGGAAUAGAAACACCCUUAGAAAUGUUCAUAGUUUUUUGUUUUCCUUUUCAAUUGAGAAGUCCAUUCUUGGUGUUGACUGCAUGGUCAGAAAAGACUGACCUGUGGAAAUGUGUUAGCUUUGGUGAAGGACUGAUGAAACAGACUCUAGCCCAGGAACCUGCCCAAGUUGUUUUUUUUUGCCUGCUCGCUUUGUGGGCUUUCAAGAUCCAGCCAAGGUGACUAGCCAGGUUCCCUUCUACAGAACCAGUAUAGGACUGGUGCUUUAAUGAGGUAUCAGCUCCAAACCUUUGGUCCCAGGAACCCCUCGCUCUCAGGAUCUCCCUGAAAUGAGAUUAGCCUUGCCCUACAGAUUUAUUCCCGAGUGUGUCACCUUGGGCCAAGAGGAACAGCUGCUAAACCCAGGGGAUCUGGCCACCCAGGGAAACCAAGCACCCCAUGGAUGUGGACCCCCUUACAAGUUUGCUGCAUCAGAGAAGCUGCAGCUGUCAACACAUUCUCCAUAAAUUAGGGGAAAAUGGGAAAGAGGAAGGACAAAGUUAUCUUGGGCAUGCUUCGAAACCUAUGCUCUAUGGUUUCACCCUUGGAGCUGGACAUCGGAGCACAUCAUCCACCUGGUCGCAGCUCUGGCCUUGCAAACCCGCCUGGGAGACAGAGACGAGCUGACUGCCAUGCAAGUGGGCUUUAAAUGUGAAAUGCUGGGGUAGGGGCUGAGCAGCAGCACCCUACAAAGGGGUGCUCUGUCUAAUCUGCGUCCGAGAGCAACGCAGCCACUACACAUCCCAUCAACGCUCCAGGCAAGCGCUGGAACAAAAGGCAGAGGCAGUAAGGGGGGCUGUGGUGAUUAAGUUCUGGGAAGAUUAUUGAUUUAUUGAACGAAGGUCAAAACUACUCAGCAAAAAGGCAGGAAAUCUUAGCACAAAGAGGCUCAAUGUGGAAACGAGGAGCCUUAGCGUCGAGCAGGAAAAAACAGCGCACACGAGUGUAAAUGAAGCGUUUAGGAAAGCUAAAUAAGGAAGGUCAAGGCCUUUCCAUGACACAGAUCGGUGGGUGCAGCGCAGCAACAAGCAAACAGAUCUCAGCAGGCGUGACUGGCAGCGUUGGCCCCUGUGUGAUGGAUGGAUGGCCGGCAGAACAGAGUGAUGGGUGAUGAACUAGCUCCAGCGCCAAGGGAGGCUGGAGCUCCUAAGCCAAAUCUCCUCAAAAAAACACUAAAAAGGCCAAGGCCUGGCCUCUACCAGUGGAGCUGGCUGGCAUGGCCCUACCACAGCCUCCCUGCUAGGUUCCCUUUAGCUUCCAAACCACAGUGGCCACAUCCUAACCACCUGUCGGGAAGGAUCUCUUCUCAAUGCAAACUCCUAGACCGUGCCCAAGAAGAGCUUGGGAAAACGCUGUCUGGCCUGGGUCAAAACACACCAGGGAUUUCGUGGAUGGCUCUGACUGGUUCUUAGUCUAGACACAGAGGACACAGAAAGCUGGUGUAGCCCUUCUGUCUGAAGCAUCAUUGGAGGCAUCACCAGAACUGCUGCUCUCCUACAUAACUCAUGAAAUUUUCCUUAUUGCCCGGUGUGGUUGUGUGGUUUGUAAACCAGGAGGGCGAAUCCACUGAGGAGCCAGCCAGGAGAGCACGAAGUGGAUUCCCCAGCCCUCAGUGCUUACAACCAGCAGAAGCUGCAGGUGCCCAAACCCUCAUGUCUCCUUCCUCCCCCCAUCAGACCUCAGUUUCCCCAGCUGUGGCUUUUCCAAGGUGAAGGUGUGGGGCUGCUGCGGGAAAGAGGCUGCUGAGGGUGGCACGGGAGGGCAACAGCAAGGGAUGGGUUAGGUGAGAGCAGGCAGCCUGCCGCAGCGUUUUGGCACGUGUCUCCCCACUCAUGUCUCCUCUCUUCUCCAGCAGCAAAGGCAGACGGCGUUAAAACCUCCGUGGCUGCCCCCCCGAGCAGUUCUUGAGACGGGAGCUCACGGCUCCUGCCGUCUCCCUGCGGCGUGUAGGCUUCUGCUCCACCCCACCCUGCCUUCCCCUGGGCUGUCUGAUUAUGAGUGUGGCUUACCUGGCCACGAGCAUGUCUGUGUAUAUGCAAUCACUCAUUUGUUUGUGUACGCUCGCGAAAAGACAACAAAGAAGCCAGUGCUGGCAAACACGGCUCCUGCUGGCUUCGGAGAAAAGCUGUGUGCAUUUAUCUGCUUGUGAACAAAGUCGUACCAGUGGGGCUGAGCUGA